UUGUAUAAUGGGAAGCCAUAAGAAGGAAAGGUUAUGCGCAUGGUCAGUAGCACGUGGUACAACUGUAAGGGGCCAAUAUGGCUGAAGGAGGAUAACCACGAGAAAAGAAGCGAAUGAAAAUGUGUAAAGCGCUCAAUAAAGGUUUUGAACCCUUGGACACUAAUAGAGAUAUGAAGGUAUUUACUCAACGGCGGUGUGGUGGUAAAAAUGUUACUAGCAGUAAAGAAUACUCUUUAGAUGUUUCUAGAGGUACAGAAUUCAUCUCAAAUUGACUAGUAGGAGCUACACUUGUUGAUAAAAGGUCGUCGCGAAGACUGACUCCAUUCUGGAAUAUAAUGGGCAUGCAAUUCAAUCAAUCUUUGCAGAAAUAAAGACUACUAUUAUAUCAGUUUAUUUACAAAAUCUUUUAUUAAUAACAUAUUUUGCUGUUUUACAAAUGACCUUUUGUUAUCAUUGUUAUCACAA
rnacentral:lncRNA from 1 species